rnacentral:rRNA from 1 species
UACGGGGGGGGCAAGCGUUGUUCGGAAUUACUGGGCGUAAAGGGCUCGUAGGUGGCCAACUAAGUCGGACGUGAAAUCCCUCAGCUUAACUGGGGAACUGCGUCCGAUACUGGAUGGCUCGAGUUUGGGAGAGGGAUGCGGAAUUCCAGGUGUAGCGGUGAAAUGCGUAGAUAUCUGGAGGAACACCCGUGGCGAAGGCGGCUUUCUGGCCCACCACUGACGCUGAGACGCGAAAGCUAGGGGAGCGGACGGG